ACUGCCUUCCCUUAGGGCUAUCAGAUGCCCAUCAUCCUUCACAUUUCUAUUCCUUCUCACGUCGCCGUUUUUCCUAUUUCGCUUUUCCGAUCCUUUAUCUUACUCCUCUUCUUCAAUCCCUCUCACCUUGAACAAUAGAGGUUGAAAAGGCAGGGAUUGUGUGUAUCGGCGUAGUGCUAAUUUCAGUGCACUCUGUUCCGAAAGUAUUCCCUGCGACAUCAAUCUUGAAGGGGGGAAGGUGGGCAGUUGUGAUUCAUCUCCAUUGAAUUUUCAACAAUCAUCUUCCCUACAUUGCAUUUAUUCUUCCUCUUUUGAUUAUCGGUUCCUCCAAUCGAAUCCUAAGUUUCUUUUUAUCUGAAAAAUCGGUUCUUGAUUUGGAUUUUCUUUAUUCCCAUAUUUUCUGAUGAACUCUUUCGUAAUGCCCAAGAUUGGUUGCUUAAUGAAACGUGAUUUUGUGAUUGUUGUAGAUUAAUUUUAUUUUCACUCUAUCUGUUGAUUGAUAGAGUUGAUCUGUGAUAUAUACUUCAUGAGGUGUCUGUUUCGUUAUGAUCUGCGAAAUGUUAGGGAUGACUACGUUAGAUUAUCAAAGUUCGAUGCUUAAGUGGACAUUUAAUUGUAAAUCAAUUUUAGGCAAAAGUCCAAUAUGAUAACAGCAACCAUAUGGUUUUGUUUAUAAUUUGAUUGAGUCAUCCAAGCAAAAAAUACUGAGUUUUUUUUACAACAAACCUCUGACUUCGAUGCUUUUGCAUCCGAAACUGUCGAUUUUGUUCUUUGUUUAACAAUUAUUAUUCCUAACAGUACUGUUGAUUGUGAUUUUGUUUUGACAAUACCCUGUUUCAUAUCAGUUCUAUUGGCAGAUCAAAAUAAAGGUCCCCGUCCUCAUGAACUACCACACUUAAUAGCCUUUAUAGGUGUGGAGGAUGAUGAUCAAACAAUAAUUCUGCUUCCAAUCAUUAGACAAUUAACAAAGCAUUAGGAUGGGGAAGGAAGACAAUUAAUUAACAAAGCAUUAGAUGUGGGGAAGGAAGACAAUUAACAAAGCAUUAGAUGGGGAUGGAAGACAUUUAACAAAGAAUUAGAAUAUAAAUGGAUUACAAGCUUACCCUAGAUAGAAAGCUUUUUCUCCCAAGUAGUUGAUACUUGAUUCCACUAGACCCUUAUAUAUCAUGUACAUGUAUAGAUUGUUUCUACCAAUGCAGUCUAAAAGCUUCCCCUAAAUGUUAUAUUCUAAUUUCUUAAUCAAUGUUGUUAAUUCACCAAAUUUGUGCACUUGCUAGGUUAAUUCAUCUACUUUGAUUUUUGUUACCUCAAAAAUAGUAAAACACACCCCAGCCACAAAUAACUAACAACCAACUAAAAGAACAUUAAAUGGGUGUGAAGUAACAAAUCUGAAUAUUUUUAUUAUUGUUUUCUUUUAGACAAACAGAUUACAGCAAAGGAGCAAAAGGAGCAUUAAGCAUUUAAAAAGCUUCAAACAAUACUCAAGUCUCAUAUUUUAUUUAGGAUAUAUACUCACUCGUAUGUAAGUUUCAUGCUAUAUCAUUAGUUGCUAGGCAUGAUGAACGUCAUGGUGAGUUAUAUUUAAAGUGUCAUGAUAAACUUAUAUGAACUUUAUGGUAAAGUUAUGUUUGAAGUGACAUAAUGAAGUUAUUUAAAAUUAAGAAAGAACAAAGAAAAAGAGUGCAUUCUAAUCUUUUCAAAAUGCUUUAUUUCUAGAACAAAUGUUUGCAUAUUUCUUUAUCUCAAACGUGUUUCAUAUGAUUUAUGAAUAUUAGUCAAUUAAUAUACCAAAUAUAAAUUAUUUCAACGGUUGAUUAUAUAUAUUAUGCAUAUAGAUUAUAUUAUAUAUACUUUAUUCAAAUCAACUUCACUGUUUUAAUCUUUGUUUCCUUAUCUGUAUUCUCAAAUUUUUGAAAAACCACUGCUAAAUAUGCAAAUUUUUGAAAAACUACUGCUAAAUAUACAAAUUUAAUGCACUAUAUUUAUAAUUAUUAUUUCAAUUAUUUUGAUAUUCCUUGAGGCCACUAUCAUUUUAAUUGCACUAUCAUUUUAAUUGCAAGGUGGAAAGAUAAAGUGAAAAGAGAUAGUUGUAAAUUUAGCAAUUAAAUUUAAAAUAAUUAAGUAUAUAAUAAUAUUUUUAAAAAAUUGUAAAUAUAGCAAAAUUUUAUUAAUGAUAGAGUCAGAUCAUAGGAGAUACAAGUUGCUAUAUUUACAAAAAAAUUAAAUAUUGCUACAUCCUUAAUUAUUAUUCUUCAAUGAUCAUUCGUUACAAUUAAUCCGUAUUGAAAAAGAAAAAAGAAGGCCCAUUCUAAUAUUUCAAAAUGCUUUAUUUUAUUUAUAAAAAAAACCAUGUUUGCAUAUUUGUGUGCCUAAAAUGUGUCUCACAUCAAGAUCAAGUAUACCAUAUUUUAUAUUUAGAAAGUAUCAUAUAUUUUAUUAUAUUUUCAAAAGUAUAUAUUGUAUAUACGAAAUAACAUUUCAAAGAGUAUUUACUAAAUUCAAAGAGUAUCGCAAAUUUCAACUAUCACAUACUCUAUCUUUCCUACUCAGAAAAAUAAAAUAUGCUGUUUUUAAAUAUGUCAUAAAUAUCCUUAUUAUUCUUGGAAAAUUUAAGGUAAUUUUCCAAUAAUAAUAAUGUUUAAGUUUACAGGUUACCACAUUCUAUAUAAAAUAAUCCAUACUCUAUUUUAUAUUUUGUAUUUCCAAUAACAAUAGAAUAAAAAGAAGUUAAACUAACAAAAAAAAACUAUAUACAUCAGGGAAAGAAUUUUAAACUUCAAUUAAAAAUCUUCCAACAUUCAAAAGAUCCUUCAAUUAAUGAAGAUUUUGGAGUAAGAAAAACUCUGAAAAUAUUAACACUCUACUCCUAUACAUCAUAUAUAUUAAGUAUAUGGAUUAUAGAGUGAACCACGUGCUAGCAUAAACAAAAAUAAAACAAUUUUAACUUCAUGAAAUAUGUUUCUUUAAAAAUCUCGUAAUAAUAUAAUUGUAUAUUAAAUACAAAUUUAAAAUCUGAAUGUUGGUAAGUUUAAUAGAGUUGUUAGUAUAAAACUGUAGAUUUAAUUGAUCAAAUGUUGGCUAUUUUAUAUAACCUACAAAGUUUUAUUUUUUAUCUUUUGGUGUAUUGGGUCACAAUUUUAGUAAUUGCAAGCACAAAAUCUAUAUAGCAUGUUUCUGAAAAGAAAACAAAAGUUUGUGAAAUCACCAUCUACUGAAUUAAAAAAAAACAGGCUGAAAAACAAGUAUAUUAAACACAAGUUCGAAAAAUAGUUAGGAUGAAUGAUCGGAUAACUAAGGUCGGCUGUUUUUGAAGAAUAUUCAACCCAUAUUGUCUUGUAUUUGUGCCGACAAGUGUGUCGAAUAUUGAGUGAUUCUUUAGAUCUCAUUGAUUUGUUCUGAAGAGUGUUGUUUUGUGGCGGUUGAAGUUUCACUGGGAGGGAGUCCCACACUUAGAGGGAGCAUAAGUGAUUGUUCUCUAAGUUGUGCUAUAUUCAAGUGUCUUUAAAAUUAUCGUAUUUAUAGAUAAGUACAUCGUUAUAAUUGCUUGAAUUUAUACUAGCGGAUGUAUCUUUCCACGAGCAAUGCUUUAAGACUAGGUGGUAUUGCAGCAAACUAGGUUACCAAACUAUCUUCUCACAUUUGUGAUGUUUUGGAAAAUGAUGUAACAUGUAUGUAACAAGUUAAGUCGUGUGUUAGAUAACCUAGUUCUCUUCGUGCGUCCUAUGAUUUUUAUUUUUGUCCAUGUCAAACCAUCAACACUUGAAUAACCAAGCACGUCGUCCAAAUGGAUAUUGAACGUGCAACACUUUGCCCAAAACACCGUAAAAACUGUUGUUCACACUGCCUCCACUACCUUUUUCGAUUACCAUGACUCCACUGUUUUGUGUUGUACGUCGGGAAUCACGCUCCAACAUGUGAAAUCGUACACCAUUGACAAUGCAUCCACUGUAAGAGCGGACAACAAGUGAUAGUCCCAUUGCGAGUGAAAAUAAAUCUUGAGAAAUGUUUGAAUUUUCACGCAUUUCUGCCAUAACCUGAAAUUGGGUUUAGCAUAAAAGUACUUAUAUGUAUAAAAUAUAUAUAAAGUAGAAAUGUUUGAAGUCAUUUACUCGAAA